rnacentral:rRNA from 1 species
GACGGAGGAUGCAAGUGUUAUCCGGAAUCACUGGGCGUAAAGCGUCUGUAGGUGGUUUGAUAAGUCGGCUGUUAAAUCUUGGGGCUCAACUUCAAAACUGCAGUCGAAACUAUUAAACUAGAGUAUAGUAGGGGUAAAGGGAAUUUCCAGUGGAGCGGUGAAAUGCGUAGAUAUUGGAAAGAACACCGAUGGCGAAGGCACUUUACUGGGCUAUAACUGACACUCAGAGACGAAAGCUAGGGUAGCAAAUGGG